CUUCCAUUGUACCUCCUGAUACCUGGUGGGGCCAGUCCUCACAUAUUGUGCUAGCAGUCUUCACAGCAUUUUCUUCAAAAUUAUCUUAACUAUUGUUGCCCAUUCCUCAUCAUACACAGUAUAUCAAGCUUGUCCAAGCCACAGCCCAGGACAGCUUUGAAUGCGGCCCAACACAAGUUUGUAAACUUUCUUAAACUCCUGAGUGGCUGGGAGUAUAGGCAUGCACCACCAUGCCCAGCUAUUUUUUUUUUUUUUUGUAGAGACAGGGUCUUGCCGUGUUGCCCAGGCUGGUCUUGAACUCCUAGACUCAAGUGAGGAAAAGAAGGAGUUUUCUUAGCCUCCUUGCCAGAGGUCUGUUUACUAUUUACAUUUCAUAUAAUUUUCAUUAAAUGUGGAGAAUGCAAGUCUUAGGAGUCACCUGAGGUACAUCCAGUUUUUUGUGACUAUUUCCUGAUGUUUGACAGACUGUUCUUUCAACUUGGUGUGGCUACCUGGAGUUUCUGUGUCAGUUCUUUGUUCUUGGCCAACUGUUCCUGCAUAGCUUGGCGAGCCUCCAGGUCAUAUUUGGCCAUAAUUGCCUUUGACUUGGCCCAUUUCCCACUGUUUUGGUGCUUAAGGCUCAUUCUUUCCAUCAUUCUGGCAUUUUCAAUUUUUUCCAUUUCUUCCAGUGCCACAGUUGGAUUAACCUUCUGUAGCUGCUCAAACUCUUUUAAGGCUUUCUUGGCCUUUCCUUUCUUCACGACUUUGUGAUACUUUUUACUUUUGAUUUUCUUCUCUUUUCGAGCCUUGGCCUCAUAGUAGGACUGCAGAGCCCGAGCCCUCUGAAGCUCUGCUCGGUGCAUCUUUGCCUCUUCCAGGCUCAUGGCUUGGAGAGAGGCCUUUUCCAUGGGAGUCAGUAAAGGAUCUGUCACUGGCUGCUUGUUCUUAUGGAGGAGGUUAAAAAUUUCCUGCUCCAGGGGAGUUCUUGCCUUCCAGCCACUGAGCGCAUGUUCAAUGGGAGCAAUGGCUGGCUGCUCCUUCCCCAGGGGAAAAACCAGCUGCUCUGCCUGCUGGUUCUUCAGGAUGAUAGGGUCCCAUUUGGAGAGGACCUGUGAGGUUUUACUGAAUGCUACUUCUCUGUGGAUCUGUUCAAUUUUUUCUUUGUUAAGAGGUAACUCCACCACCUUCUUUGAUUUGACUCUAUUCAGUUGCUUUUUUACAGUGGCCAAAGAAGAUGAAGUUUUAACGGGCUCAAGCAGAUCUGCAAGGCCCAGCUUUUCUCCUGAUCCUUCAGAACUGACACUG
rnacentral:lncRNA from 10 species